rnacentral:rRNA from 1 species
CCAGACUCCUACGGGAGGCAGCAGUGGGGAAUAUUGCACAAUGGGGGAAACCCUGAUGCAGCGACGCCGCGUGAGCGAUGAAGUAUUUCGGUAUGUAAAGCUCUAUCAGCAGGGAAGAAAAUGACGGUACCUGACUAAGAAGCCCCGGCUAACUACGUGCCAGCAGCCGCGGUAAUACGUAGGGGGCAAGCGUUAUCCGGAUUCACUGGGUGUAAAGGGAGCGUAGACGGCCAAGCAAGCCAGGGGUGAAAGGCCGGGGCCCAACCCCGGGACUGCCCUUGGACCUGCUUGGCUGGAGUGCGGGAGGGGCAGGCGGAAUUCCUGGUGUAGCGGUGAAAUGCGUAGAUAUCAGGAGGAACACCGGCGGCGAAGGCGGCCUGCUGGACCGCUACUGACGUUGAGGCUCGAAAGCGUGGGGAGCGAACAGGAUUAGAUACCCUAA